UAUCAUCCGUGUGAUUAGCUUGUAAGAUACUAUUCUUUCAACCUUUCACUUAUGUUAAAGUCAAUCAUCUUUGUACCUGAUGCCCAUACUAUUAAGAUGGCUGUCAAACUACUGUAGUGACAAGGCAUUAGUGAAUGGGUCUGCUAUGUUGUUCUUGAUAUAUACUUAUUCUAUCAUUACAUCAUAAAUGAAGUGGAAGCACCUUAGAAUGUACUUGGGUUUUUGAUGAGACCAUGAUUUUUCUACCUGAGCAAUAGUCCCGGUGUUGUCAUAAUAGUGGCACA
rnacentral:lncRNA from 1 species